rnacentral:rRNA from 1 species
GACGAACGCUGGCGGCGUGCUUAACACAUGCAAGUCGAACGGGCCUUGUCCCCUUUUUUUUGGGGGUGGGGUUAGUGGCGAACGGGUGAGUAACACGUGAGUAACCUGCCCCUCACUUCUGGAUAACCGCUUGAAAGGGUGGCUAAUACGGGGUGUUCUGGCCUGCUCGCAUGGGUGGGUUUGGAAAGAUUCGACCGGUUUUGGUUGUUUUGGUGGGGGAUGGGCUCGCGGCCUAUCAGCUUGUUGGUGGGGUGAUGGCCUGCCAAGGCUUUGACGGGUAGCCGGCGUGAGAGGGUGGGCGGUCACACUGGGACUGAGACACGGCCCAGACUCCUACGGGAGGCAGCAGUGGGGAAUAUUGCACAAUGGGCGCAAGCCUGAUGCAGCGACGCCGCGUGAGGGAUGGAGGCCUUCGGGUUGUGAACCUCUUUCGCCAGUGAAGAAGGUCCUGCUCUUUGUGGUGGGGUUGACGGUAGCUGGGUUAAUGAAGCGCCGGCUAACUACGU